rnacentral:misc_RNA from 1 species
GAUGAAGAACGCAGCGAAAUGCGAUAAGUAAUGUGAAUUGCAGAAUUCAGUGAAUCAUCGAAUCUUUGAACGCACAUUGCGCCCGCGAGUAUUCUGGCGGGCAUGCCUGUUCGAGCGUCAUUACAACCCUCAGGCCCCCGGGCCUGGCGUUGGGGAUCGGCGGAAGCCCCCUGCGGGCACAACGCCGUCCCCCAAAUACAGUGGCGGUCCCGCCGCAGCUUCCAUUGCGUAGUAGCUAACACCUCGCAACUGGAGAGCGGCGCGGCCACGCCGUAAAACACCCAACUUCUGAAUGUUGACCUCGAAUCAGGUAGGAAUACCCGCUGAACUUAAGCAUAUCAAUAAGCGGAGGA